CCCCCCAAAAAAAAAACACAACAACAACUGUUUGCACUAGACUGUCUAGUAGCCAAAUUAAUCAUUUCAGUGCUGUAAUCCAGCACAUCACCUCUAAUGGGUCACCGGUACCUGCAUCUACUACGCUUAUCCAUUGCUUAACCGUAUUUUUUCCAAUACAACAGAUGAAGUUUGCUGGGCAUGUGAUGAGAUUUUAUAUAUAUUCCUCAUUCUAUUCUCGAGUCCUCUAUCAGAGUCCUGGGAGUGUCAG